ensembl:lncRNA
GCUCCUGUAGGGUUGCUGCUCGACUGCCUCUGUCUUUGGGAUCGGCACGGCGCCGCCGCUGGGCUCCCGUGUGGCUUUUUAGUAGGACCGGCACGGGGCCUCCGCCCGAGACCGAGCACGAUCCCGGGGUGGCCUCGGCCACUGCGGAGUGUUUUGCGGGUGCUCUCACCCAUCCCGUUUCCAGCGGUGGGAGCGAGCAGGAAAGACAGACCGGCCAGGCGGUGGAGUCUCUCUUCGAGGGAGAGAACGGGAACGUAUCGAGCUCCACCUAGGGGUGAAUGAAGAACCAGCGGAGCGUUUGUGCGUGAGGCUGAAGAGGCAGGUAAAAGUGGGUAACAUGAGUGGUGGUGUUGGUCACAGACCAGGGUGAGGAAGCUGAUAGACCUUCUGCACACAGCUGGAAAUGGUGCCCACAGCUGUGAGGCUAGUUCUCAUGGUAGGCUCCAGGAGUUUCCUGCAAUGUGUCAAAGGUAAGAUCUUCUGACACAGGUGAUGAAGGAGGCAUUGAGGAGAGGGGCUGCUGGAGCUCCCUAUUGCAGAAGAGCCAUUUGGGGACAGGAAGGCCAGGGGCAGCCUGGAGCGUGCCAGUCGUGAGACCACAGUGUUUGGGAUCUUGUGUGGAAGCUGCAAAGCAAUGAGUAGGAUUGAAACACUGGACUUGGAGGGAGCCAAUGGUUUCUGCUGAGAGUGCUCCUGGGGAACCUGGGGUCCUGGAGGAGAGAGUCCCUGAGGAAGGAUGUCUUCCCCUCAGUUGCGGAGGAGCUGGUCAAAGGUAGUUCAGGCAGAAAGGAGGCCAGCAAAUGCCUGAGCUGUAGAGGGCUAUGUCUGUGCCCGCUGAGAGCUGGCAGCGGUGACUGGCAAUAGCUCUCUGUCACUUUUCCCUGCUGUUUCCUGUGGGAAAGGUACCUGAAGACUGGAGGAUGGCGGAUGCCACCGCAGCCUUCAGAAAGGGUGUGGAGGAUGGCGUGUGCAACUUGGAGGUAGGUUGGCCUCAUGUCUGUUCCUGGGGAGGUGACGCAACAGCUUGUUGCAGGUGUCAUUGCCAUGUGACUGGAGGAGAAGGUAUUUGCAAGGAGCAGUCCAGGUGGAUGGACAGAGGAGAAGUCAUGCCGGACCAAAAGGGUGAAGGCUGCAGAGAGGAUUGGCUGGAGCAGGUGUGCAGUUUUCCCAGUGGUGGGAUGAAGGAGGUGGUUGAUGGAGGUCUCUGUGCAGGUUCAGGCUGGAGGCAGGAUCCUGGCGGUGUGAGUGGGGCGCCCCUGUGGAGCAAGGUGAGCUGCAUGUUACCUGUGAGGUGGGUGGUGCCCUGGGGCUGGAGGCAGUGGCUGUGUGGGUGACGAUGUGCUUUUGUGACAGGGUGGAAGGUGCGUGGCAGGUCCUGUCCCGGAGGAGUGGAGUUAAGGGUCCUGGCGUGGCUGUUUUCCUGCAUGGAAGAUGGAGAUCCUGGGAGCUGUGAUGAGGAGGAGCAGAGCCAGCAGGUAGGCCUGGGGUGUUGUGCUGUCUUGGCUCUGUUUGUGUUUGCUUAGGUGGCUGGCUGGCUUUGGUGUGUAAGAGGUUUGUGUUGGUGAUGUGGCAGGCUUGUUUGCUGGUGGUCUUGUGGUGGGGCUUGUCUUUUUUUUUUGGUUAGGAGGCUGGUGGUAGAAAGUGGCUUGGGUGGUUUCGGUGUGGUAGGUGGAGUUGGCUUUGUGGUGUGCUGGUUGUUGGGUUUGGUGGUGGUUUUUCUUGGGAGCUGUCUGGCUUUAUUUGGUUGUUGGCAGUACAGUGGCAGGCUGGUGUGGCGGUCUCUUUUGUCUUCUGGUGGCCUUUGGUGUGUGUGUUUUUUGUUUUGAGGCUGGUGGAGGGAAUGUCUUGUGGCUGGUUGUGUUGGGUAGUAGUGUGGUGUUUGUUUUGGAGCUGUGUGGUGAACAGCCAAGAGCAGAGCCUGCCCUGGGGGUGGGCUGUGCUCUUGGCUGGUGGUGGGGGGCUGUGCAGUGGGGAUUGCACUAUCUCAAAGAGAUUAUUUUUUUUUGGGUGGGAGGUGGGGAUGGUC